rnacentral:lncRNA from 10 species
CGGCCUAUUGUCGGACUUCACCUUGUGAUUGUGGAACUUGCAAGCUAUGGAAUUCCUGCUCUGUGCUGAGCAGUGCUGGCCUGGAAGAUGGGAAGGAGAUGGAGUCAAAAUGAAACUGUCCUUCUUAGCCUUUUUGUGAAGUAAUUUUGGGAUUAUUUCUUCCACCGUAACUGCUUAAGUGGACUCUGGGGUUUUUCCAGAGUUAUUUGUGUUUGUGAAUAGCUAUUUAAUUGUUCUUUGUCAGAAGAAUGAAGGCUGAGACCUCCUUCUCCACCAUCUUGCUGACAUUACUCUGCUUCCAGGUUUAUCCUUGAUACUCAAGAUAAUGUUGGUGAAAGCUCUAAAGUGCUCUAUACAUUCUAGCCAUUGUUAUUUACCCCCAAAGUUGUAUUUUUUGAUGCCACAAUUUUAAAUAACAUAUUUAAAGCACUUAAAUUUUUGUAAAAAUAAUAAAAUCACUAUGACACCAAAAA